rnacentral:rRNA from 1 species
UACGUAGGUGGCAAGCGUUGUCCGGAUUUAUUGGGUUUAAAGGGUGCGUAGGCGGCUCUGUAAGUCAGUGGUGAAAUACGUCAGCUCAACUGUCGAGGUGCCAUUGAUACUGCAAAGCUUGAGUAGGGUCGAGGUAAGCGGAAUUGACGGUGUAGCGGUGAAAUGCUUAGAGAUCGUCAAGAACACCGAUAGCGAAGGCAGCUUACUGGGCCCUAACUGACGCUCAGGCACGAAAGUGCGGGGAUCAAACAGG